rnacentral:tRNA from 34 species
GCGCCCUUAGCUCAGCUGGAUAGAGCACCGGACUUCUAAUCCGACGGUCGCAGGUUCGAAUCCUGCAGGGCGCG